rnacentral:rRNA from 1 species
GACGAACGCUGGCGGCGUGCUUAACACAUGCAAGUCGAACGGAAAGGCCCUGCUUUUGUGGGGUGCUCGAGUGGCGAACGGGUGAGUAACACGUGAGUAACCUGCCCUUGACUUUGGGAUAACUUCAGGAAACUGGGGCUAAUACCGGAUAGGAGCUCCUGCUGCAUGGUGGGGGUUGGAAAGUUUCGGCGGUUGGGGAUGGACUCGCGGCUUAUCAGCUUGUUGGUGGGGUAGUGGCUUACCAAGGCUUUGACGGGUAGCCGGCCUGAGGGGGUGACCGGCCACAUUGGGACUGAGAUACGGCCCAGACUCCUACAGGAGGCAGCAGUGGGGAAUAUUGCACAAUGGGCGGAAGCCUGAUGCAGCAACGCCGCGUGCGGGAUGACGGCCUUCGGGUUGUAAACCGCUUUCGCCUGUGACGAAGCGUGAGUGACGGUAAUGGGUAAAGAAGCACCGGCUAACUACGUG